CGAUCCCCGGCAACGGCGCCA
rnacentral:sRNA from 1 species